UACAGAGGGUGCAAGCGUUGUUCGGAAUUAUUGGGCGUAAAGAGCUACGUAGGCGGUUCGGCAAGUCGGAUGUGAAAUCUCCACGCUCAACGUGGAGGGGCCAUUCGAAACUGCCGUGACUCGAGUCCGGUAGGGGAGUGUGGGAAUUCCCGGUGUAGCGGUGAAAUGCGCAGAUAUCGGGAGGAACACCGGUGGCGAAGGCGGUUC
rnacentral:rRNA from 1 species